UGCCAGACUCCUACGGGAGGCAGCAGUGGGGGAUAUUGCACAAUGGGGGCAACCCUGAUGCAGCGACGCCGCGUGAGCGAUGGAGUACUUCGGUAUGUAAAGCUCUGUCAGCAGGGAAGAGAAUGACGGUACCUGACCAAGAAGCCCCGGCUAAAUACGUGCCAGCAGCCGCGGUAAUACGUAUGGGGCAAGCGUUAUCCGGAUUUACUGGGUGUAAAGGGAGCGUAGGCGGCAGGGCAAGCCUGAUGUGAAAGCCCGGGGCUCAACCCCGGGACUGCAUUGGGAACUACCGGGCUGGAGUGCCGGAGAGGUAGGCGGAAUUCCUAGUGUAGCGGUGAAAUGCGUAGAUAUUAGGAGGAACACCAGUGGCGAAGGCGGCCUACUGGACGGUGACUGACGCUGAGGCUCGAAAGCGUGGGGAGCAAACAGGAUUAGAUACCCUCGUAUU
rnacentral:rRNA from 1 species